GACGUAUUAACCUCCACUGGUGGGAAACGGCUGAGAACCAGUUCAGCUGCUGGCUGGAGUGAAUCCCAGCCCUGGCAGCAGUAGGUACUCUGUUACUGUCUGAAGUAGGAAAAAUCACUGUUGCUGUUUCCAAUAGAAAAGGGAAAGAAAAGCUCUAUAAGCUGAUUCAUUCUCUCCUUCAUUUGAAAAGAAGGAAAACAGGAGUUCAUUGUAUUCCUGAGUACAAAAUAUCCUCAGCAAGUGUGACAAAAUAUUGCCUAGAAGUUAAUUGCAAGCUGAAUCCCACAAUGCACACCUAUGAAUAGUGUGCGUGUUGGUUUGAUGUGGCAGAUGCAAGGAAAGCAGCAGUCAAGGUGGAGACUGCAUCUUGUAAAGGUCUUUGAGCGUAAGCGACAAAGUGUGUAUCACAAAUUGAGAAGGGAUUCCCAAGCCACCUGAACACCCAGGCUGAAGCACUUAACAGGAAUUGCUCCCUUUUUCUGUCUUUUAAAUGCAAAAUCCUACUGUUCAUCUGUGAGGCUCUGAAUGCACAGAUCUUAGAAA